rnacentral:lncRNA from 1 species
CGGUUUUUAAUUAAUUUCUUUUGUUAAGAAAUAUUUCCUUAACUAACCUCACCAAUAGUGACGAAAAUAAUAUUCUUCAUUUUCACACUCACAAGUCACAAGUCACAAGCCUUAAUGGCCAAGCAAGAAUUAGAAUUAGAAUUCGAACGCGUUACUUUGCUUCCAAAGCUGGUUUCGAACUUUGAAUUCUAUUUCUACUGUUGAAUAAGGAACACGAGCACCAAACCUCACAGCUAGAGUAUUGGGUGAUGAUUUCGGAUUUUGUUCUGGAAGGAUCCAUGUAUAAUAAUAAUAAUAUAUUUGCAUUAAUUGACGAGUUAGAAAAUGGAGAUUACAAAAUUCCAAGUACUUAAGGAGCAAUAAAUUAAUAAUAAUUACAUGAUGAAAUAGUGAUAGAUGAGAGAUUGUGUAUCUAGUCUCAGCUAGGAUGCAUGAUGGAUGAGAUCAGAAGUUGCAGCCGCAGCAGAGGUAGAAGAAGCAGAGGGUGAGAACGAGGAGUACAGCCUCAAAUGCAGAGACGAGCCUGAAAACGACGCCGUCCACGAAGGAGACGCGGAUUGUGGAGAGGCUCUUCCACUUGAAAGCGGAUGAGAAGAGAUACUUGAGCCUGAGAUUCCACGAGGAAGAAAGCCUUUUCUUGUUCCUGAAGAACCAUGACGACGACGACGACGAUCCCUUCUUGCUGCUAAUUCCCACCACCAUCUUAGUUACGUUUCUUUCUUUGAUUUGUGUACGACAGAGAGGUUGUUAUUAUAUAUAUUGAAAGGAAAGCUAAGGAACCUUCCUGACCACUUUCUUUUUUAUAGUUGGGUUUUGGUGAGAGAGAGAGAAAGAGAGAGGAAGCGGAGGUUGUAACUACUUUGUAUAAAGCUAAUAAGGAAUGUAUCGUGUGAGAGUGGGAGGAGAAGUGGAAGGAAUAAAUGUAAAAAACUGCUCCGCGUUUUGAUGGAGUCAAU